CUCGUCCUAUGUUGCCAGCGAGUUGUGUCGGGGACUCAUAGGAGACUGCCGGGGUCAACUCGGAGGAAGGUGGGGAUGACGUCAAGUCAUCAUGCCCCUUACGUCCUGGGCUGCACACAUGCUACAAUGGCCGGUACAAAGGGCUGCGAUGCCGUGAGGUGGAGCGAAUCCCAAAAAGCCGGUCUCAGUUCGGAUCGGGGUCUGCAACUCGACCCCGUGAAGUCGGAGUCGCUAGUAAUCGCAGAUCAGCAAUGCUGCGGUGAAUACGUUCCCGGGCCUUGUACACACCGCCCGUCACGUCACGAAAGUCGGUAACACCCGAAGCCGGUGGCCUAACCCUUGUGGGGGGAGCCGCCGAAGGUGGCACCGGCGAUUGGGACGAAGUCGUAACAAGGUAGCCGUACCGGAAGGUGCGGCUGGAUCACCUCCUUUCUAACGAGCGUCUGGCUGGUCUGUCCUGUUGGGGGUGGGCUGGUGCAGGGCCAGGACCGGCAUGUGCAUGCCGGUCUGAUUGGUCAUGGGUGGAACUGUCCUGACGAGGGUAGUGAUGCUGCAAGGCCGCUGGAUGUCUAGGACUCUGCGCUUGCUCAUGAGUGCUGAACCCUCCUCAGAGUGCUUCUGGUUGUGUUGGUUACGGGUGUAACUCGUCUGGUGGGUGGCUGGUGGUGCGUGGCACGCUGUUGGGUCCUGAGGGAGUCAGGCUUCCUCGUCUGUUUUCAUCCUCUCUAUGGGUUGAUCUCCUUGGGGGGGGUGGUGGGGGUGGUGGUGCGGGCCAGCUGUGGUGGGAUACCUGCUCUGCACGUGGUGUGGGUGGGGUCCGUCGGGUCGGUUGGGGCCGUCCGUACGUUGAGAACUGCACAGUGGACGCGAGCAUCUUUGUGGCCAAGUUAGUAAGGGCGC
rnacentral:sRNA from 1 species